UAGGGAAUCUUCGGCAAUGGACGAAAGUCUGACCGAGCAACGCCGCGUGAGUGAAGAAGGUUUUCGGAUCGUAAAACUCUGUUGUUAGAGAAGAACAAGGAUGAGAGUAACUGUUCAUCCCUUGACGGUAUCUAACCAGAAAGCCACGGCUAACUACGUGCCAGCAGCCGCGGUAAUACGUAGGUGGCAAGCGUUGUCCGGAUUUAUUGGGCGUAAAGCGAGCGCAGGCGGUUUCUUAAGUCUGAUGUGAAAGCCCCCGGCUCAACCGGGGAGGGUCAUUGGAAACUGGGAGACUUGAGUGCAGAAGAGGAGAGUGGAAUUCCAUGUGUAGCGGUGAAAUGCGUAGAUAUAUGGAGGAACACCAGUGGCGAAGGCGGCUCUCUGGUCUGUAACUGACGCUGAGGCUCGAAAGCGUGGGGAGCAAACAGGAUUAGAUACCCUGGUAGUCCACGCCGUAAACGAUGAGUGCUAAGUGUUGGAGGGUUUCCGCCCUUCAGUGCUGCAGCUAACGCAUUAAGCACUCCGCCUGGGGAGUACGACCGCAAGGUUGAAACUCAAAGGAAUUGACGGGGGCCCGCACAAGCGGUGGAGC
rnacentral:rRNA from 1 species